GACGAACGCUGGCGGCGUGCUUAACACAUGCAAGUCGAGCGGUAAGGCCCUUUCGGGGGUACGACGAGCGGCGAACGGGUGAGUAACACGUGGGUGACCUGCCCUUAGCUCUGGGAUAAGCCUGGGAAACUGGGUCUAAUACCGGAUAUGACUCCAUGACGCAUGUUGUGGGGUGGAAAGCCUUGUGCGGCUAGGGAUGGGCCUGCGGCCUAUCAGCUUGUUGGUGGGGUGAUGGCCUACCAAGGCGACGACGGGUAGCCGGCCUGAGAGGGCGACCGGCCACACUGGGACUGAGACACGGCCCAGACUCCUACGGGAGGCAGCAGUGGGGAAUCUUGCGCAAUGGGCGAAAGCCUGACGCAGCGACGCCGCGUGGGGAGUGACGGCCUCGG
rnacentral:rRNA from 1 species